CCCGCUGAGUUUAAGCAUAUCAAUAAGCGGAGGAAAAGAAACUAACAAGGAUUCCCUUAGUAACGGCGAGCGAACCGGCAAGAGCCCAUCUUGAAAAUCGGACGUCUUCGGCGUUCGAAUUGUAGUAUGUAGAAGCGUCCUCGGCGACGGACCGGGCCCAAGUUCCCUGGAAAGGGGCACCAGAGAGGGUGAGAGCCCCGUCGUGCCAGGACCCUGUCGCACCACGAGGCGCUAUCUACGAGUCGGGUUGUUUGGGAAUGCAGCCCCAAUCGGUCGGUAAAUUCCGUCCAAGGCUAAAUAUGGGCGAGAGACCGAUAGCGAAAAAGUACCGGGAGGUAAAGAUGAAAAGGACUUUGAAAAGAGAGUCAAAGAGUGCUUGAAAUUGUCGGGAGGGAAGCGGAUGGGGGCCGGCGAUGCGUCCCGGUCUCCGUUCCGCCGAUCGAUUUGGGGCGUGGACCGAUGCAGAUUAAGCUGGUGGCCUAAGUCCGGGCUUUUGUUACGCCCGUGGAGACGUCGCUUCCUUAAUCGUGGUCUGCAGCACGCACCUCACGGCGUGCCUCGGAAUCUGCAUGCUCAGGGCAUCGGCCUUUGGGCUCCCCAUUCGACCCGUCUUGAAAGACAG
rnacentral:ncRNA from 2 species